rnacentral:lncRNA from 1 species
AUGUUUGGGCGUUCAGCCUCACAGAUGAAGUGGCUGAGAUCUUCUGGAGCCCUGAUCUGCUCUGAAGUGCCAGCUGCUGAAAAGCCGGCGUCUCCUCCAGUCGGUGACCCCAGUGAUCCUGCUGCUGCCUGUGCAUCUUCUGUGCCGCCUCUGCUGUCCCUAACUGGAGCUUCAGACUGUCUCUGUCUAACUGGUUCUCAUCUGUUGACACAAGCAAAGGUGAUGCAGACACCUGCAUUUCAAUGUCUGCACGUCAGUGUCUCCUUGUGAAUCAGGUUUUGAGCUCUCACGAUAGUCCCUGGAGAGCUGGUUCAUGCAGGACUUGGAUCUAAGAGCCUGGUGGCUUUUGCAGUGCCCUGGGAUGUAUCACCUGAGCUCUAGGUGCUCCUCCAGACAGGCACUGGCCUCAAAAAUGGCCUGUGUCAUAUCUGCAAGCUCCAUGUGGAUGUCUUGGAUGCUGCAGAGCAUUUCAGGCAGCAGGCAGCACCUGUAUGGGGGCAGCUGAAUCAAGUCCUACCAUCAACAGAGCAAUUCAGGUGACCAAGUGACUGCUUGUGUCAGUGUGAACUCAUUCACUCCAGUUUCCAGGGUCUAUUGAACAGAAAAGCUUUGCCAGUCUUUGGAGAUCAGAUGCCUGAUGCAUAUGCAUGUGUAGACACUUAUGCGUGGACUCCUAAAAUGUCUCUAAUCUUGAGCCAAAUCCUACCCAGACAAAAAAGUCAAAGGUCUCGACGUGUAUCAGUUGUUAAACAGCUAUUCCUGGGGUUGUCUGUCACCACUGAGUUUUUCCAGCAGAGCUGCAAACACCUGCUAGAACUGAAUUAACACUUUGCAGCCAGGUAGAUCAUAGCCCAAGAUGUAGCAGCUGGACAGUUUGCAGAUAUCUCCUUCAAUGGUGUGGCUUCUCACAGCUCCAUAAAUUUCAUGGGCUUAGAGAUGUUAGAGCAGCUGAGGCUCAGCCCUGGGGCUUUUAAAUCGAGAUUUCCUGCUGUGAUACAGAAUAUUCUGUAAGUGAGUUUCCAAAUCCUGUUCUAAGUGCAUGAAUUACUGGGGUGAGUUCAGUGGCCUGUGCUGUACAUGCCAGUUUAGAUUGCCAUUAUCAUCCUUCUCUACUCAAAACCUGAAAUUUCAACACAGAUCUCACCACUUCUUCAAAACCGUCAUGACACAGCCUUUCUCUCGGUAAAACUGUAGCUUUCAUAACAGAUUUCUCAAUAAAUAUCCUCUGUAUCAUUCA